GUAAGCGUGCGCAGCGGUUUGUAAGACUGUCGUGAAAUACCCGGGCGUCAACCUGGGAAUGGCGAUGGUGACUGCAAGGCUAGAGUUUGGCAGAGGGGGGUAGAAUUCCACGUGUAGCAGUGAAAUGCGUAGAUAUGUGGAGGAACACCGAUGGCGAAGGCAGCCCCCUGGGUCAAAACUGACGCUCAUGCACGAAAGCGUGGGGAGCAAACAGGAUUAGAUACCCGGGU
rnacentral:rRNA from 1 species